rnacentral:rRNA from 1 species
AACGAACGCUGGCGGCAGGCUUAACACAUGCAAGUCGAGCGCCCCGCAAGGGGAGCGGCAGACGGGUGAGUAACGCGUGGGAAUCUACCCAUCCCUACGGAACAACUCCGGGAAACUGGAGCUAAUACCGUAUACGCCCUUCGGGGGAAAGAUUUAUCGGGGAUGGAUGAGCCCGCGUUGGAUUAGCUAGUUGGUGGGGUAAUGGCCUACCAAGGCGACGAUCCAUAGCUGGUCCGAGAGGAUGAUCAGCCACACUGGGACUGAGACACGGCCCAGACGCCUACGGGAGGCAGCAGUGGGGAAUAUUGGACAAUGGGCGAAAGCCUGAUCCAGCCAUGCCGCGUGAGUGAUGAAGGCCCUAGGGUUGUAAAGCUCUUUCACCGGUGAAGAUAAUGACGGUAACCGGAGAAGAAGCCCCGGCUAACUUCAUGCCAGCCGCCGCCGUAAAAC